AAUAUAAAGUCUCUGCAGUGCCCCUUUCCGACUGGAGGGAUUUUUGCAGUUCCUACAACAUAACGUUCCUAGAACCCUUUUUUUCUCGUGUUCCAACUGGACUAAUUUGAGGAUUAUUAAGUUCCUCUGGCCACAGUUGCUGUAACUCUUUCAGCUCUUACUUCUUUCUGCAUAGAGGUGGUUAGAUGGCUGUGUAUUAAGAACAACAAGUCAGUUAAUAUGGCCACUUGGCCAGUGUGAUUGCAAAUGACGAAAGCUGUUUUG